rnacentral:lncRNA from 1 species
CAACACUAUUUCCCUUACUCUGGCAGAGUGGAAGUUGUAACCACACUAAGUUUUAUAGCUUCAGAUAAUAUGUAUUCGGAAAAAAAGAUCUCCCUAAAGAUUUUUUUUUAUCUCAAAACAUGUGAUUCUAAUUUUAUAGGAGGGGAUGUCACUGUUUUAUUUGAAUUCUUAUGAAAAAAAAAGCAUUUUUGGUUUGCUUUUGCUUUUGCUUUCUAAAAUAGAAACCAAGAUCUAAUACACAUCAGCCAUCUAAAGUGGAUGCAGGGAACAGUUGCCAUGGGUUGGAGAGGCGGCUCAGCUGUUAAAAGCAUACUGCUAGUCUUUGUUUGUUUUCUGUUGCUGCGAUAUACACAUUAACCAAAAGCAAAGCUGGGGAGAAAAGGCUUUAUUUCAGCUUACAACUUCUGGGCCAUACUCUAUCACUGUGAGAAGCCAGGGCAAGAGCUCAGGCCGGAGCAGAUGCAGAGGCGGUAUAGAGGGGUGCACCUUACUGACUUGCUCCUCAUGGAUUGCUCAGCUUGCUGAGGACCUCCUGCGUGGGAUGGCACCAUGUAUAGGGAGCUAAGCACUCCCACAUCAACCAUAAAUCAAGAAAUUGCCAGACAUGCUUGGUGCUUUCGGCCUGGAGCCAUGUUGAUGUCCAUGACCACAGCUACAUCUCAGGCCUUUGUCUGGGUCCUUGGCCAUACUGCAACUGGGAGCCCUGUUAAUGGUCUUUGCUGAAACCAGAAGCCAAGUGGAAGCCCAUGAUCCAUGCUCCCUUGGUUCCUAAACAGCAAAUAAGCUACUUUGGCAGUGAUAUCGAUGACUGGAGAUGCACAGUUGAGAAAGAGGGACAUGGAAGACUUCUGUGACAACCCCUACCUCCACCUUCAUCCACCUCUCCCAAAAUAGUAACAGCCUAAACAGGAAACCAUCAAAAAGAACACUUAAACUGUGAUAGGAUGCUCUCCACACCAGAUAGCUUCCAGAAGGGUUGCGGGAGGGGAAGGACUCAGUCCUAUUUAAGUGACAGGCCACUGAGAGUUUGCACAUGUUCUGGUGAGUAUAUAAACAACACAAAUUGG